AAUUAUUCUAUACUCUGUACUUGGAUUUGUAUGCCCAACAUGCAUUAUCUUGCAAUUAUCCACUUUAAAUGUGCCACAGCUCUGACCUUUUUUCUAGUUUACCUAAAUCAUUUGCCAUUUGGCUUGUGCCUCCCGGAACAUCAACCCUGUUGUAUCAUCAGCAAAAAUACAUAUUUUACCAUCAAGACCUUCUGCAGUAUCAGUAAUAAAGGUAUUAAAGAGAAUGGGUCCAAGAACAGAUCCCUGAGGUACCCCACUGGUGACAAGUCCAAG